UACGAAGGGAGCUAGCGUUGUUCGGAAUCACUGGGCGUAAAGCGCACGUAGGCGGAUGUGUCAGUCAGGGGUGAAAUCCCGGAGCUCAACUUCGGAACUGCCUUUGAUACAGCACGUCUUGAGUCCGGAAGAGGUGGGUGGAAUUCCUAGUGUAGAGGUGAAAUUCGUAGAUAUCUGGAGGAAUACCGGUGGCGAAGGCGGCAUCCUGGACCGGCAUUGACGCUGAUGAGCGAAAGCUAGGGGAGCAAACGGG
rnacentral:rRNA from 1 species